rnacentral:rRNA from 1 species
UACAGAGGGUGCGAGCGUUGUUCGGAAUUAUUGGGCGUAAAGGGCGCGUAGGCGGUGCGGUAAGUCACCUGUGAAAUCUCCUGGCUCAACCCGGGAAGUGCACUCGAAACUGCGUGGCUUGAGUAUCGGAGAGGUUGGUGGAAUUCUCGGUGUAGAGGUGAAAUUCGUAGAUAUCGAGAGGAACACCGGUGGCGAAGGCGGCCAAACUGGACGAAUACUGACGCUGAGACACGAAAGCGUGGGGAGCAAACAGG